GGCCCGGUAGCUCAGUUGGUAGAGCACCCGCCUGAAGAGCGGGGUGUCACCAGUUCAAAUCUGGUCUGGGCCACCA
rnacentral:tRNA from 1 species